rnacentral:rRNA from 1 species
AGCGAACGCUGGCGGCAGGCCUAACACAUGCAAGUCGAACGAACCCUUCGGGGUUAGUGGCGGACGGGUGAGUAACACGUGGGAACGGGCCUUUAGGUUCGGAAUAACUCAGGGAAACUUGUGAUAAUACCGAAUGUGCCCUUCGGGGGAAAGAUUUAUCGCCUUUAGAGCGGACCGCGUCUGAUUAGCUAGUUGGUGAGGUAAUGGCUCACCAAGGCUACGAUCAGUAGCUGGUCUGAGAGGAUGACCAGCCAGAUUGGGACUGAGACACAGCCCAAACUCCUACGGGAGGCAGCAGUGCGAAAUCUUGCGAAAUGGGGUAAAGCCUGACGCAGCCAUGCCGCGUGGAUGAUGAAGGUCUUAGGGUUGUAAAGCUCUUUCACCGAUGAAGAUAAUGACGGUAGUCGGAGAAGAAGCCCCGGCUAACUUCGUGCCAGCCACCGCAGUAAGAC